AGUGAACGCUGGCGGUAGGCCUAACACAUGCAAGUCGAACGGAAGCACAGUAAGCUUUUGCUCUUACGGGUGGCGAGUGGCGGACGGGUGAGGCAUACAUCGGAAUCUACUUUUUCGUGGGGGAUAACGUAGGGAAACUUACGAUAAUACCGCAUACGACCUACGGGUGAAAUCAGGAGUGCUUCGGACCUUGCGCGAUUGAAUGAGACGAUGUCGGAUUAGCUCGUUGGCAAGGUAAAGGCUCACCAAGGCAACGAUGCGUAGCUGAUCUGAGAGGAUGAGCGGCCGCAAUGGAACUGAGACACGGUCCAGACUCCUACGGGAGGCAGCAGUAGGGAAUCUUCCGCAAUGGGCGAAAGCCUGACGGAGCAACGCCGCGUGAGUGAUGAAGGUCUUCGGAUCGUAAAACUCUGUUAUUAGGGAAGAACAAAUGUGUAAGUAACUAUGCACGUCUUGACGGUACCUAAUCAGAAAGCCACGGCUAACUACGUG
rnacentral:rRNA from 1 species